rnacentral:tRNA from 1 species
GCGAGGGUGGCGGAACUGGUAGACGCGCCAGACUUAGGAUCUGGUACUUUCGAGUGUAGGGGUUCGAGUCCCCUCCUUCGCACCA